AACGAACGCUGGCGGCAUGCCUAACACAUGCAAGUCGAACGGGAUCCUGGCUUCGGUCAGGUGAGAGUGGCGGACGGGUGAGUAACGCGUGGGAACCUGCCCAGUGGUGGGGGAUAACUGCGGGAAACUGCAGCUAAUACCGCAUGAGCCCGAGAGGGGAAAGAUUUAUCGCCAUUGGAGGGGCCCGCGUUCGAUUAGGUAGUUGGUGAGGUAACGGCUCACCAAGCCGACGAUCGAUAGCUGGUCUGAGAGGAUGAUCAGCCACACUGGGACUGAGAUACGGCCCAGACUCCUACGGGAGGCAGCAGUGGGGAAUAUUGGACAAUGGGGGGCAACCCUGAUCCAGCAAUGCCGCGUGAGUGAUGAAGGGCCUUCGGGUUGGUUAAAGGUACU
rnacentral:rRNA from 1 species